rnacentral:rRNA from 1 species
CUGAGCACUCUAGGGAGACUGCCGGGGAGUAAACUCGGAGGAAGGUGGGGAUGACGUCAAAUCAUCAUGCCCCUUAUGUCCUGGGCUACACACGUGCUACAAUGGCCGGUACAAAGGGUUGGCCAAGCCGUGAGGCGGAGCCAAUCUCAAAAAGACCAACCUACAGUUCGGAUUGCAGUCUGCAACUCGACUGCAUGAAGUUGGAAUCGCUAGUAAUCGCUGAUCAGCAGGCAGCGGUGAAUACGUUCCCGGGCCUU